AUGUCACCAACCUAAGACAGGGAUCAAACC
rnacentral:piRNA from 1 species